AUACGGAGGGUGCGAGCGUUAAUCGGAAUUACUGGGCGUAAAGGGUGCGCAGGCGGCUUGAUAGGCGGAUGUCAAAGCCCCGGGCUUAAACUGGGAAUUGCAUUCGAUACUGUCAGGCUAGAGGAUGUCAGAGGUUGGCGGAAUUCCUAGUGUAGCGGUGAAAUGCGUAGAUAUCAGGAGGAACACCAGUGGCGAAGGCGGCUAACUGGGGCAAUACUGACGCUGAGGCACGAAAGCGUGGGGAGCAAACAGGAUUAGAAACCCUUGUAGUCC
rnacentral:rRNA from 1 species